GCAGCUAAAGCGCCUCCCCUACACUGAGGUACAUACCAGUGCAAACCUGGUCGCUUUGAUACCAAACAGCUAGCCAACCCACCAAAAAACAACAAACCCCUAUAAACUAACCUAUAAUCUACCUAAAACCCAAACAACAAAACAUUUUACCCCUAAAGUAUGGGAGACAGAAAAGGAACCAUGCGCAAUAGAAAAAGUACCGUAAGGGAACGCUGAAAAAGAACUGAAAUAAAUCAGUUAAGUUUAAAAAAGCAGAGACUAACACUCGUACCUUUUGCAUCAUGAGUUAGCUAGUCCGCUCAAGCAAAACGUAUUUUAGUUUGACAUCCCGAAACUAAGUGAGCUACUCCAAGACAGCCUUUAAAUAGGGCCAACCCGUCUCUGUGGCAAAAGAGUGGGAAGAACUUCGAGUAGAGGUGACAAUUCAACCGAACUUAGUUAUAGCUGGUUGCCUGAAAACAGAAUAUAAGUUCAACCUCCCGGCUUCUUAAUACACAUAUCCUCAAUAUUUACCACACAAGUUAUAAAGAACACCGAGAGAGUUAAUCAAAAGGGGAACAACUCCUUUGAUAUAAAACACAACUUUACCAGAAGGAUAUGGAUCAUAAUACUAAAGGUACUUUU
rnacentral:rRNA from 1 species